GAGAAUUGAAGAACUGAAUCAGAGCCUGGCUGCCCAGGAGA
rnacentral:sRNA from 1 species